rnacentral:rRNA from 1 species
CCUACGGGAGGCAGCAGUGAGGAAUAUUGGUCAAUGGGCUUACGCCUGAACCAGCCAAGUCGCGUGAGGGAAGACUGCCCUAUGGGUUGUAAACCUCUUUUGUCAGGGAGCAACGCCGGCUACGUGUAGCCGGACUGAGAGUACCUGAAGAAAAAGCAUCGGCUAACUCCGUGCCAGCAGCCGCGGUAAUACGGAGGAUGCGAGCGUUAUCCGGAUUUAUGGGGUUUAAAGGGUGCGUAGGCGGAAUGCCAAGUCAGCGGUAAAAUCGCGGGACUCAACCUCGCUCCGCCGUUGAAACUGGCGUUCUUGAGUGGGCGAGAAGUAUGCGGAAGGCGUGGUGUAGCGGUGAAAUGCAUAGAGAUCACGCAGAACUCCGAUUGCGAAGGCAGCAUACCGGCGCCCAACUGACGCUGAAGCACGAAAGCGUGGGUAUCGAACAGGAUUAGAUACCCGAGUAGUC